GAUCAGACUCGAUAUUUUGUGAGCCUUGCCUUCGUGGCGGGGUGACCCGCAGCUUAUCGGGCCAGCAUCGGUUUGGGCGGUAGGAUAAUGGCGUAGGAAUGUGACUUUGCUUCGGUGAAGUGUUAUAGCCUGCGUUGAUGCUGCCUGCCUAGACCGAGGACUGCGAUUUUAUCAAGGAUGCUGGCAUAAUGAUCCCAAACCGCCCGUCUUGA
rnacentral:rRNA from 1 species